AUUGAACGCUGGCGGCAUGCUUUACACAUGCAAGUCGAACGGUAACAGGUUAAGCUGACGAGUGGCGAACGGGUGAGUAAUGCAUCGGAACGUGCCCGAUCGUGGGGGAUAACGCAGCGAAAGCUGCGCUAAUACCGCAUACGAUCUGAGGAUGAAAGCGGGGGACCGUAAGGCCUCGCGCGAUCGGAGCGGCCGAUGUCAGAUUAGGUAGUUCGUGGGGUAAAGGCUCACCAAGCCAACGAUCUGUAGCUGGUCUGAGAGGACGACCAGCCACACUGGGACUGAGACACGGCCCAGACUCCUACGGGAGGCAGCAGUGGGGAAUUUUGGACAAUGGGCGAAAGCCUGAUCCAGCAAUGCCGCGUGCAGGAAGAAGGCCUUCGGGUUGUAAACUGCUUUUGUACGGAGCGAAAAGGCUCUCUCUAAUACAGGGGGCUCAUGACGGUACCGUAAGAAUAAGCACCGGCUAACUACAUGCCAGCAGCCGCCGCAG
rnacentral:rRNA from 1 species